AUCUCUCUACGACCUUACACCCGACACCAACGUUAUGGUCACCGACAAUUCUCAACGGAUUCGUCAUCUCGCUCUCUGGACGACAAAGGCAUAUCGUCGGGGGUAUGGUAACUAGCGAGUUGAUUGCUGCGAGAACGGUGUUCGUGAUCGUAGCAUCGUUCAACAACCCAGACCUCUGAGUCAGGUUUUGGUGGUGUCGCAUAUGCAAUGGCCAUAAUCUGUAUCCCACUUGAUGCUGGAUCCGAAGGUUCACAACCAUUAUUUGGCCCUUUUAUUAUAUAUGCAGUGAUUGAAGAGAACUUGCCUUCUUGAGCUUCAGGAUGGAAGGUUUGUAAGUCUUAGAUGUGUUCUUUCGUGUGCCAAAGGUGGAAGGCCUUUGCCUAAACAAGACUUCACUUGUUGCGUUGUCAUAGGAGAUUAAGGUUUUGUUUGUUCUUUCCAGGGUUAUCCUCCCCUCUCUUUUAGAUGUUUUUGGUUAAUCUUUUGGUUUCUGAAUUAUGAUCAUUUAGCUUUGGUUGCUUAAAUGAAUGUUGUAUGUGUCGGCUAAUAUGACAGCCCUUUAGCAUAUCUUAAAAUUCUGGAUUUUUUCCUUGAAAUGAUAAUACUUCCAAGUGAUCAAUAUGUUUGUUUAUGUGAACGUGUAUCUAGUGAAGUUGUGGAUAUAUCAAAUAGCUUCAUGUGUAUAUAUAUUCGUUUAAA